rnacentral:antisense_RNA from 19 species
CUUCAAUGACCCCAGCCACAGCGGCUGAUCCUCCGGCCGCUCCUGACCGUAGGUGGCCAGGAGUGCCUGGGCCUC